UACGUAGGGUGCAAGCGUUGUCCGGAAUUAUUGGGCGUAAAGAGCUCGUAGGCGGUCUGUCGCGUCUGGUGUGAAAAUCCAGGGCUUAACCCUGGACCUGCAUCGGGUACGGGCAGACUAGAGUGCGGUAGGGGAGAUCGGAAUUCCUGGUGUAGCGGUGAAAUGCGCAGAUAUCAGGAGGAACACCGGUGGCGAAGGCGGAUCUCUGGGCCGUAACCGACGCUGAGGAGCGAAAGCAUGGGGAGCGAACAGG
rnacentral:rRNA from 1 species